GAUGAACGCUAGCUACAGGCUUAACACAUGCAAGUCGAGGGACCGGCGCACGGGUGAGUAACACGUAUCCAACCUGCCCUUUACUCGGGGAUAGCCUUUCGAAAGAAAGAUUAAUACCCGAUAUAAAGGAUGGGGAUGCGUUCCAUGAGGUUGUUGGUGAGGUAACGGCUCACCAAGCCUUCGAUGGAUAGGGGUUCUGAGAGGAAGGUCCACCACAUUGGAACUGAGACACGGUCCAAACGGGGACGGGGGGCAGGAGUGAGGAAUAGUGGUCAAGGGGCGCUAGCCGAAACCAGCCAAGUGACGUGAAGGAUGAAUGGUUAGGGGUCGUAAACGUCUUUGAAAGAAGAUAAUUUAUUAAAUGAAUAAGGAUCGGCUAACUCCGUGCCAGCAGCCGCGGUAAUAC
rnacentral:rRNA from 1 species